UACAGAGGUGGCAAGCGUUGUUCGGAAUUACUGGGCGUAAAGGGCGAGUAGGCGGCCUUCUAAGUCAGACGUGAAAUCCCCCGGCUUAACCUGGGAACUGCGUCUGAUACUGGGAGGCUCGAGUAUGGGAGAGGGAUGUAGAAUUCCAGGUGUAGCGGUGAAAUGCGUAGAUAUCUGGAGGAACACCGGUGGCGAAGGCGGCAUCCUGGACCGGUAUUGACGCUGAGGCGCGAAAGCCAGGGGAGCAAACGGG
rnacentral:rRNA from 1 species